UACGUAGGGGGCUAGCGUUGUCCGGAAUCAUUGGGCGUAAAGCGCGUGUAGGCGGUCCGGUAAGUCCGCUGUGAAAGUCGGGGGCUCAACCCUCGGAUGCCGGUGGAUACUGUCGGGCUCGAGUACGGAAGAGGCGAGUGGAAUUCCCAGUGUAGAGGUGAAAUUCGUAGAUAUUGGGAAGAACACCGGUGGCGAAGGCGGCUCACUGGCUCGUAACUGACGCUCAUGCACGACAGCGUGGGGAUCAAACAGG
rnacentral:rRNA from 1 species